CCUACGGGUGGCAGCAGUGAGGAAUAUUGGUCAAUGGGCGCGAGCCUGAACCAGCCAAGUAGCGUGAAGGAUGACUGCCCUACGGGUUUUAAACUUCUUUUAUAAAGGAAUAAAGUGAGGCACGUGUGCCUUUUUGUAUGUACUUUAUGAAUAAGGAUCGGCUAACUCCGUGCCAGCAGCCGCGGUAAUACGGAGGAUGCGAGCGUUAUCCGGAUUUAUUGGGUUUAAAGGGUUCGUAGGCGGGCUGUUAAGGCAGCGGGAAAAGCCCGGGGCGCAACCCCGGCGAGCCGUUGAAACUGGCGGUCUUGAGAUGUCGAGAGGUAUGCGGAAUGCGCAGUGUAGCGGUGAAAUGCUUAGAUAUUGCGCAGAACUCCGAUUGCGAAGGCAGCAUACCGGCGGCGAUCUGACGCUGAGGCACGAAAGCGUGGGUAUCGAACAGGAUUAGAUACCCUUGUAGUC
rnacentral:rRNA from 1 species